rnacentral:rRNA from 1 species
UACGUAGGGGGCAAGCGUUGUCCGGAUUUAUUGGGCGUAAAGCGCGUGUAGGCGGCUUGGCAAGUCCGCUGUGAAAACUCGAGGCUCAACCUCGAGAUGUCGGUGGAAACUGCUUGGCUAGAGUCCGGAAGAGGAGUGUGGAAUUCCUGGUGUAGCGGUGAAAUGCGCAGAUAUCAGGAAGAACACCUAUGGCGAAGGCAGCACUCUGGGACGGUACUGAUGCUGAGACGCGAAAGCGUGGGGAGCGAACAGG